rnacentral:rRNA from 1 species
UACAGAGGUCUCAAGCGUUGUUCGGAUUCAUUGGGCGUAAAGGGCGCGUAGGCGGGCGGUCAAGUCCGGGGUGAAAGCUUUCGGCUCAACCGGAAAAGGGCCUCGGAUACUGGCCGCCUUGAGGGAGGUAGGGGCAAGCGGAACUUCCGGUGGAGCGGUGAAAUGCGUUGAUAUCGGAAGGAACGCCGGUGGCGAAAGCGGCUGCUGGACCUCUGCUGACGCUGAGGCGCGAAAGCCAGGGGAGCGAACGGG